rnacentral:rRNA from 1 species
UACGAAGGGGGCUAGCGUUGCUCGGAAUCACUGGGCGUAAAGCGCACGUAGGCGGCUUCUUAAGUCAGGGGUGAAAUCCCGGGGCUCAACCCCGGAACUGCCUUUGAUACUGGGUAUCUCGAGUCCGGAAGAGGUGAGUGGAAUUCCGAGUGUAGAGGUGAAAUUCGUAGAUAUUCGGAGGAACACCAGUGGCGAAGGCGGCUCACUGGUCCGGUACUGACGCUGAGGUGCGAAAGCGUGGGGAGCAAACAGG